rnacentral:rRNA from 1 species
CACGUAGGGGACGAGCGUUGUCCGGAUUCAUUGGGCGUAAAGCGCGCGUAGGCGGCUCGGAAAGUCGGUCGUGAAAUGCCGGGGCUCAACCCCGGGACUGCGUCCGAUACUCUCGAGCGUGGGAGGCAGGUAGGGGAGAUCGGAAGUUCCUGGUGUAGCGGUGAAAGUGCGCAGAGUAGUCAGGAGGAACACCGGUGGCGAAGGCGGAUCUCUGGGCCGUUGCCUGGACGCUGGAGGAGCG